rnacentral:rRNA from 1 species
UUGAGUUUGAUCCUGGCUCAGAGUGAAUGCUAGUGGCAGGCUUAACAUAUGCAAGUCUAACGGACUUUUGUUAAAAAAGUAAGUGGCGUACGGGUGAGUAAUACAAAGGAAUAAUGUAAAUUAGACUGGUAAAAGAGAAUGAAAAUUUUUUAUAAAUACCGGAUAAAAAAAAUUUCUUGUUGAAAUAUUUUUAAAAAUUAUAUUGCUAGUUUACAAGCUUUUGUAGGAUUAGGUAGUUGGUUGUUUAAAAGACUACCAAGCCGAUGAUCCUUAGCUGGUUUUAGAAGAAUGAACAGUCACACUGGGACUGAAAAAGGCCCAGACUUCCAUGGAGGGCAGCAGUGAGGAAUAUUGGACAAUGGGCGCAAGCUUGAUCCAGCUAUGCCAAAUAGGUGAAGACGGUUAUUUUAAUUGUAAAACCUUAAUGUUAAGAAAGAUAAUGACAUUACUUAAAGUAGGAGUCCCGGCUAACUUCGUGCCAGCAGCCGCGGUAAUACGGAGGGGACAAGUGUUACUCGUAAUGAUUGGGCGUAAAGGGUACGUAGGUUGCUAUUAUAGUCUAGUGUAAAAAACUUAAGUAAGAAGAAGUAAAGCAUUAGAUACAUUAUAGCUUGAGUUUUGGAGAGGAAAGUGGUACUUUUAAUGUAGAGGUAAAAUUUGUCAAUAUUAAAAGGACGACCUAAGGCGAAGGCAACUUUCUGGACUAAACUGACACUGAGGUACUGAAGCAUGGGGAGCAAAUCGGAUUAGAUACCCGAGUAGUCCAUGCCGUAAACGAUGAGUAUUGCAUAUUGUCCUAUAUAAAAUAGGAUUGUGUGUCAGUUAACACGUUAAAUACUCCGCCUGGGGACUACGGUCGCAAGAUUAAAACUCAAAGGAAUUGCGGGGAAGCUAAACAAGCGGUGGAAUAUGUGGUUUAAUUUGAUAUAACGCGUAUAACCUUACCAAUUCUUGAAAAGCAAAAGAGUUCAUAUUUAAAAAAAUAGUUGUUUUUUAUUAUUUAUAGAGUAGAAACAGAAACUUUUGUACAGGUGUUGCAUGGCUGUCGUCAGCUCGUGUUGUGAAAUGUAUGGUUUAUUCCUGUAACGAGCGCAACCCUUAUCCUUUAUUUUAUUAAAGGAAACUGUCUAUGAAAAAUAGGAGGAAGGUGAGGAUGACGUCAAGUCAGCAUGGCCUUUAUGGAUUGGGCUACACACGUAUUACAAUGGUUAUUACAAUAGAGAGCAAUAGUGUAAGCUGGAGCAAAUUCUUAAAGAUAAUCGUAGUUCGGAUUAUUGUCUGAAAUUUGGCAAUAUGAAGGCGGAAUCGCUUGUAAUCGCGAAAAAGAAUGUCGCGGUGAAUAUGUACACAGCUUCACGACACACCGCCCGUCACGCCAUGGGAAUCGGUAUUGUUCAAAAUGAACUUACCUUAUAAAAAGUUAUUAAGUUAAGAUAUUUUUUUUAUAAUUUGUUUUAACAUUAUUUUUAUAAGAGGUGACUUAGUAUAAUAUUGAGGACUGGGGUGAAGUCGUAACAAGGUAGCUGUAGGGGAACCUGUAGCUGGACUA